rnacentral:rRNA from 1 species
GUUAAAGAAGAACACGUAUGAGAGUAACUGUUCAUACGUUGACGGUAUUUAACCAGAAAGUCCACGGCUAACUACGUGCCAGCAGCCGCGGUAAUACGUAGGUGGCAAGCGUUAUCCGGAUUUAUUGGGCGUAAAGAGAGUGCAGGCGGUUUUCUAAGUCUGAUGUGAAAAGCCUUCGGCUUAACCCGGAGAAGUGCAUCGGAAACUGGAUAACUUGAGUGCAGAAGAGGGUAGUGGAACUCCAUGUGUAGCGGUGGAAUGCGUAGAUAUAUGGAAGAACACCAGUGGCGAAGGCGGCUACCUGGUCUGCAACUGACGCUGAGACUCGAAAGCAUGGGUACGCGAACAGGAUUAGAUACCCCUGGUAG